GGGCCCGUAGUUCAAUGGAUAGAACAAUGGUUUCCGGUACCAUAGAUCGGGGUUCGACUCCCUGCGGGCCUGCCA
rnacentral:tRNA from 1 species